rnacentral:lncRNA from 1 species
UGCUAAGCUAGGAUAUUGCAUAGUGUGCUUCUGUGAUUAGGACCUUUUAAAUGUGGUUGCAAAAUUGUUGAGGAAAAAAUUUCUAUGCUUUAAAAUCUUAAGUCCCUAAUAUUUUCAAACCUCUUUUCGAGAGACUGCCUCUAUGUUUUGCUUGAGGACAAGCAAAAGGGUAAGUCUGGGGGAGUUGAUAUACCUUGGAUUUGACCCGUUUUCAUCCAUGGUAUAUAAGUGUUUUUACUAUAUUAUAUCUAUGUCUUCUACUCUUCUAUGUAUGUUUUCAGGUUCAGGUGCAUUUCGGAGUAAAGCUAUGACUUUGG